AUUGCACGCUGGCGGCAGGCUUAACACAUGCAAGUCGAACGGAGUGGCGGACGGGUGAGUAAUGCUUGGGAAUCUGGCUUAUGGAGGGGGAUAACGACGGGAAACUGUCGCUAAUACCGCGUACUAUCAGAUGAGCCUAGGUCGGAGUAGCUAGUUGGUGGGGUAAAGGCCUACCCAGGCGACGAUCCGUAACUGGUCUGAGAGGAUGAUCAGUCACACUGGAACUGAGACACGGUCCAGACUCCUACGGGAGGCAGCAGUGGGGAAGAUUGGACAAUGGGCGAAAGCCUGAUCCAGCCAUGCCGCGUGUGUGAAGAAGGUCUUCGGAUUGUAAAGCACUUUAAGUUGGGAGGCGUUACCAACAGAAUAAGCACCGGCUAACUUCGUGCCAGCAGCCGCGGUAAUUC
rnacentral:rRNA from 1 species